rnacentral:rRNA from 1 species
AUGAAUAUGAGCCAUGGAGAUGAUACAAAUGGAUCGGAGUUGGUAGACUUCGAUGAUUUUGCUAACUCUCCCCAAAAAUGUUAUGUACAAGAUCAUCAUGGUCGUGGAGGGAAAACUAGGCAUGACUCAACCCAAUGUAUAAGAAGAAAUAUGAUUUUGACCAUGCGAAUGGAAAUAUAUGUACAUGCAGUGCCAACGGAAAAAAAUGUUAAUUUAGGGGAUUCUGGUACGAAGCCACCUUGCAAGAGGUUAUUGAGUGCAGGCAACCUUGCGUUGGUGACGGACCCUUGGCGCCGGGGGAAAUGA